UUUUAAAUUGAGAGUUUGAUCCUGGCUCAGGAUGAACGCUGGCGGCGUGCUUAACACAUGCAAGUCGAGCGAUGAAGUUUCCUUCGGGAAAUGGAUUAGCGGCGGACGGGUGAGUAACACGUGGGUAACCUGCCUCAUAGAGUGGAAUAGCCUUCCGAAAGGAAGAUUAAUACCGCAUAAUGUUGAAAGAUGGCAUCAUCAUUCAACCAAAGGAGCAAUCCGCUAUGAGAUGGACCCGCGGCGCAUUAGCUAGUUGGUGGGGUAACGGCCUACCAAGGCGACGAUGCGUAGCCGACCUGAGAGGGUGAUCGGCCACAUUGGGACUGAGACACGGCCCAGACUCCUACGGGAGGCAGCAGUGGGGAAUAUUGCACAAUGGGGGAAACCCUGAUGCAGCAACGCCGCGUGAGUGAUGAAGGUUUUCGGAUCGUAAAGCUCUGUCUUUGGGGAAGAUAAUGACGGUACCCAAGGAGGAAGCCACGGCUAACUACGUGCCAGCAGCCGCGGUAAUACGUAGGUGGCGAGCGUUAUCCGGAUUUACUGGGCGUAAAGGGAGCGUAGGCGGAUGAUUAAGUGGGAUGUGAAAUACCCGGGCUCAACUUGGGUGCUGCAUUCCAAACUGGUUAUCUAGAGUGCAGGAGAGGAGAGUGGAAUUCCUAGUGUAGCGGUGAAAUGCGUAGAGAUUAGGAAGAACACCAGUGGCGAAGGCGACUCUCUGGACUGUAACUGACGCUGAGGCUCGAAAGCGUGGGGAGCAAACAGGAUUAGAUACCCUGGUAGUCCACGCUGUAAACGAUGAAUACUAGGUGUGGGGGUUUCAACACCUCCGUGCCGCCGCUAACGCAUUAAGUAUUCCGCCUGGGGAGUACGGUCGCAAGAUUAAAACUCAAAGGAAUUGACGGGGACCCGCACAAGUAGCGGAGCAUGUGGUUUAAUUCGAAGCAACGCGAAGAACCUUACCUACACUUGACAUCCCUUGCAUUACUCUUAAUCGAGGAAAUCCCUUCGGGGACAAGGUGACAGGUGGUGCAUGGUUGUCGUCAGCUCGUGUCGUGAGAUGUUGGGUUAAGUCCCGCAACGAGCGCAACCCUUGUCGUUAGUUACUACCAUUAAGUUGAGGACUCUAGCGAGACUGCCUGGGUUAACCAGGAGGAAGGUGGGGAUGACGUCAAAUCAUCAUGCCCCUUAUGUGUAGGGCUACACACGUGCUACAAUGGCUGGUACAGAGAGAUGCAAUACCGCGAGGUGGAGCCAAACUUAAAAACCAGUCUCAGUUCGGAUUGUAGGCUGAAACUCGCCUACAUGAAGCUGGAGUUACUAGUAAUCGCGAAUCAGAAUGUCGCGGUGAAUACGUUCCCGGGUCUUGUACACACCGCCCGUCACACCAUGAGAGUUGGCAAUACCCGAAGUCCGUGAGCUAACCGCAAGGAGGCAGCGGCCGAAGGUAGGGUCAGCGAUUGGGGUGAAGUCGUAACAAGGUAGCCGUAGGAGAACCUGCGGCUGGAUCACCUCCUUUCU
rnacentral:rRNA from 1 species